UUCGGUUACAUCGGUGACAGGUGGUGCAUGGUUGUCGUCAGCUCGUGUCGUGAGAUGUUGGGUUAAGUCCCGCAACGAGCGCAACCCCUAUUGUUAGUUGCCAUCAUUCAGUUGGGCACUCUAGCGAGACUGCCGGUAAUAAACCGGAGGAAGGUGGGGAUGACGUCAAAUCAUCAUGCCCCUUAUGACCUGGGCUACACACGUGCUACAAUGGUUGGUACAACGAGUUGCGAGUCGGUGACGGCGAGCUAAUCUCUUAAAGCCAAUCUCAGUUCGGAUUGUAGGCUGCAACUCGCCUACAUGAAGUCGGAAUCGCUAGUAAUCGCGGAUCAGCACGCCGCGGUGAAUACGUUCCCGGGCCUU
rnacentral:rRNA from 1 species